GUGAAAGAUCGUUGUUAAUGGUUUGGGGAUAGAAAAUACAUUUGGGAAUCAUCGAAGAUCGAUUUCACCAUGAAUGAAAAUGGGGCGUGGACCAUGGGGCAUGUGUAAUGCUCGCUGUAAUGAGGAAAGCUGUUUAUUUGUGCUCAGUCUGAUGUAAUGCAGAGUUUCUUCCGUAUAUCCCCACUAUUAAUAGAGAAUCGCUUGAAAAUGUUCGAAUCAUACAAUUAUCUUUGUCCAAAUGCAACCCCAAACAUUAUCAAACUCAAAUAUCUAGAGCAAACUCAACUUGAAGUGCAGCACUGCUGAAAAAAUAGAAAGUUAUUUCCCCCAUGACUUUUGUUUAACUCGCUGCUCCCUUGGUAUAUUGAAAUAUAUUUCAGCUUUCUUAAGCAGCCCUUUUAAGGGCUUACGGAACUUUACAUUUUGUGCGCAAAAUGCACAAAACGCCCGAACACAGUUCGCCUCUUAAUGUGCAAAUGUAGGGCUUAACUAACACAAGGAUGCACACGCAUAAUAGAUGCAUCCAAUAGA
rnacentral:lncRNA from 1 species